CCCCAAGCAAGGAAGGAAGGAGGCUGGCAGAGCUCCCUGCAGCAGACCAGACCAUUCAGCACAGCUUUUGCAGGGAGACAACAGGACCUUGGAGAUGAUCAAACAUUUUUGAUCCAGAUUCCAGUUCUAAGAAAUGUCUGAUAUUGGCAGCUCUACCAAGAAGGCCAGCAUGGCUGAUCCUCUCAAUGUCUUUUUUAAAAGAGGAUGACAGUCUGUUGCCUCCAUUCAUUGACAGACACAAAAAAGGGCCCUGGGAUGACCUAGUCCAGUCCAAGGAGUAGCAUCAGCAAGAGAGGCAA